rnacentral:rRNA from 1 species
GAUGAACGCUAGCGGCAGGCCUAAUACAUGCAAGUCGGACGGGAUUCAGGAGCUUGCUUCUGAUGAGAGUGGCGCACGGGUGCGUAACACGUAUGUAACCUACCUUUAUCAGGGGGAUAGCCUCUCGAAAGAGAGAUUAAGACCGCAUAAAAUCACAGCACAGCAUUGUGUAAUGAUCAAAUAUUUAUAGGAUAAAGAUGGGCAUGCGGAACAUUAGCUAGAUGGCGGGGUAACGGCCCACCAUGGCGACGAUGGUUAGGGGAUCUGAGAGGAUGGCCCCCCACACUGGUACUGCGACACGGACCAGACUCCUACGGGAGGCAGCAGUAAGGAAUAUUGGUCAAUGGGCGUAAGCCUGAACCCGCCAUGCCGCGUGCAGGAAGACGGCCCUACGGGUUGUAAACUGCUUUUAUACGGGAAUAAACCCAGAUACGUGUAUCUGGCUGACUGUACUGUAAGAAUAAGGAUCGGCUAACUCCGUG